rnacentral:rRNA from 1 species
GACGAACGCUGGCGGCGUGCUUAACACAUGCAAGUCGAACGGACAGGCCCUGCUCUUGUGGGGUGCUCGAGUGGCGAACGGGUGAGUAACACGUGAGUAACCUGCCCUUGACUUUGGGAUAUCUUCAGGAAACUGGGGCUAAUAUCGGAUAGGAGCUCUUGCUGCAUGGUGGGGGUUGGAAAGUUUCGGCGGUUGGGGCUGGACUCGCGGCUUAUCCGCUUGUUGGUGGGGUAGUGGCUUACCAAGGCUUUGACGGGUAGCCGGCCUGAGAGGGUGACCGGGCACAUGAGGACUGAGAGACGGCGCAGACGCCUACGGGAGGCAGCAGUGGGGAAUAUUGCACAAUGAGCGGAAGCCUGAUGCAACAGCGCCGCGUGCGGGAUGACGGCCUUCUGGGUAUAAACCACUUUCGCCUGUGACGAAGCGGGAGUGACGGUAAUGGGUAAAAAAGCACCGGCUAACUACGUG